rnacentral:lncRNA from 1 species
UUUUUUUUUGUCUCUGCCCAUUUAUCUUUGGAACUUCCCUCGAGUUUUUCUUCACCUUAACUAACUCAUCGUGGGCAGCCGAGUUAGCCUAGACAGUGGCUCAAGAACCAGAAGUCUCAUAUUCGAAUGUCCUCAAGCUUAUCCCGCGGAUCUUGUUUAUGAUGUUUCUAUGUAUCUGUAAGGAUGAGUCGGUUUAGAGCCAUCCUGGUCUGACUAAUAUGGUAAAGAGAUGGCAAGGAAAUAAAAGCAUCUUAUGUCUUUGCAUACAUCUUAGUGAAGUAUGUAAAAAAUUUCCAAAUAAUAUAUUGGACGUCCAUAAAAUGCUUCCAAGUGAAGGAUUUGUUAGGUAUAUGGAGCCUGACAUUAUUGGUUUGUGUGGCUCACACCAACUCAUCAUUUCCUCUCCAGUCCAUGUCCUUUGAUUGCCGUCUCCACCCACUAUCAUGAUGGUUCUUUUGUAAUGAUGAAAGAGAGACACAUUUUGUCCUAUAAUGAUGCAAGGGAAGAAGGUGAAUGAUGAUUUCCUUUUCUCUUUCUAUUAGAAUAGGUGCGUGAAGGCUGAUAGAAGGAAGUGUGGUGGCUGAAAUAGCCAAGAAGAGAGAGAGGAAGAGAAGUGAGAGAGAGAUUGUAAUCCUAAACUUUGUUUUAGUGGAUUGUUACUCGGUGUGACCGUGGACGUAGGCUUAAUUGGCCGAAUAACGUGAAAUCUCUGUGUCCCUUUUAUUGUUUGUUUCUCAAUUGCUUGUUUGUGUGCGUGUUAUUGUUUUUGAUUGAUUACGGUGGAAUACAUUACGCAUUGGUAUUUUACCCAACAACUGGUAUCAGUGCCAACGUUCCGAAAUAUUAUACACGCAACAACAAUGGGUGACAAGAGCAAGACCAAAAUCGAAAAGUUCAAUUGAGAGAACUUUAGAUGCAUAUGGAGAAUUAUCUUUUCCAAAAAGAUCUCUAUCAAUCUCUUAAAGGGAAGAAACUAGAAGGCAUGAAGGAUGCAGACUAGACAGUUCUAGACAGAAAAACCCUAGGUACGAUCUGGUUGACUCUAUCCUUGUUGGUAGCAUUCGAUAUAUCGAAGGAGAAAAUGAUACAUCAUUCACCUUCUUUACCCUUUCAUCAUUUAAGACCCUUUCAUCAUUAUAGAGACAAAGAUGUCUCCCUUUCAUCAUUACCAAUAAGAACCUCAUGAAUAGUGGGUGGUGGACAACAAUCAGAAGACAUGGCUGGUGAGGAAAUGAUGAGUUAGUGUGAGCCACACAAACAAUAUGUCGGCUCCACAUACAUAACAAUCUCCCACUUGGAGGCUGACCACCAAAUUAAUCCUCCGGGUAGCUCCCACUUGUUUCAAUCUUCACGAACUCUGUGCGGCAUUUCGGCCCUCAUACUAGAAGACCCACCGACCUGCACACUGCUUCAGUUUCCUCAAUGGUCACACUUUUGUGACAUGUUUGCAGGAUUCUGACUUGUGGGAUACUUUUCUCCGCCAAGCUUAUCAACCCUUCAUCUAAAGUGUCGGAUGAAGUUAUAUCUGAUGUCGAUUGUUUUGUUCUUGCAUAGAUGCUAAUUUUUUUUGCCAAAAAUUGCACUUUGACUAUGUGCUGUAAGAUUUCCAAUUUUUUUGCUCUUUGCCCAACUCUCUCAUGAACUCUGGCAACCAAUCAUCUCCUUGCAAGCUUCGGUAGCACCUCAGUAUUUUACAAUCGGUGGUAGACGGAACGUACAAUCUUUUUACAUCUCGAAACCCAACUGACACUGCGCUGCCCAAUGUGAUACAUUAACUCGUAGUGCUCUUUCUGUCAUCCACAUCUCCAGCCAUGUCAUAAUCGACAUACCCUUGUAUCGAUCUCUGAGCCUCCAUAACAGAUGCUGCCCGUCUGGGUUACACCAAUCCGAUGGUGGCUAAUUUGAAACUAACCAAUCCAUUCCAAAAAUAACAUCAAAGUUUUGGAUGUCUAAGGGAAUUAGAUUCACACGUAGAGACAUCAUGAACUUGAAUUUCAACAAUCCCCUAAAGAUAUGUGAACCUAUCAUGCAUCUACCAAACGCAGUGGAAACAUGUAAGGUAAAGUUUAAAGGUUGAGGAGGGGUAUACAAUUUACACUGGCAAAAUGGGAGCGCAAAAGAGUGAGUAGAACCUCGAAUCUAGCAAUAUAUGAGAGUAUGAAUCAAUGGUAGUAUACCUGAGACACAAAUGUGGAGCUUGUACGUCUCCAAUUACAAGUGCAAAUACUCCUUCCUUGUUGAGUGACCCCUUCCAGCAGUAGAAGUGGGUCUUUGAAUGGAAUUGGGAUGGUGUCGAGGUGAAACACCCAUACUCCGUGACUGGUUAGAUUUGGGGACAGUCCCUUAUCAUAUAGUCCGUUGGCCACAACUUGAGCAUGCUCCGUCUUCCACAUAACAAACGUUUUCCUUUGUGGGAGUGGAAACUUUUCACACUUAAGCAUUGUGGAUAACCUCCCUUAAAUGAUGAUGAGUAAUUCUUGCUCACUGUUUUCCCUAUUUGAUUUUUUAGAUUGAUUGAUGACCAUUUGCGCCUCCAGUCCCUUGGAUACUUCUCCCUAUUCUCUUGUGUCCAUGUCCUGAUAAUAUCCUUCAUUACUUACUCCUUUCAGCUAGGAGUGCACUGUUCCCACAUCCGCAUACGUAGGCAACUGAAGCCAAUUCAGUCGAUUCUUGAUGUUCCCUCUCAAAACCUUCUUCAAAUUUCUUGUCCUUCCCUCGGUAUCCCCCUAUAUUGGCAUAUCGCGCUUAUUCAGUGAACUUAGGGAUGGAAAUGGGCGGGGCGGGGCCGGAGGUUGCUUGUCCCGUCCCCGAGCCCCGAAGUUAGUUUCAGAGUCCCGUCAACGCCCGAUCCCGGAGGGGAUUUUUUUAUACCCCCAUCCGACUAACGGGGGAACGGAGAUCCCGCCCCGAAUCCGAACCCGAAACCAAACAACUCACGGUGUGCGCGUGUGUGUUUGUGAGAGAGCGAGGGGAAAGGAGGGAGGUAGAGUAGGUAAGUAAACCUGAGAGGAUGAGAUAGUUGUCCAAGUGGAGAGAGGAGGGACUGAGGGAGUCCCCAAACCAAAUUAGUCCUCGUUGCCGUCGUCAUCGUCAUCGCCGUCGUCUUUGGUCAUCGUAGUCGGAGUCAUCGUAAUCGUCGGAGUCAUCGGCGGAGUCCACACCAAGGCUUUGCGAACCGGCGGACCGGGACUCGCCGACCAUGCGGACCAUCUCUCGCUCUCUCUAGAAUGUGUGGUGUUGACAGUGUUGUGUUGCUGGAGAGUGUGUUCUGCCCCUGAGGGCUUCCAACCUUAAGUCUUUUAGGGUAAAUACACUGACAUCCCCCUUUUUGGGGAAGUUCAUAAUGACAGGAACUCCUCUCAAGUUUUUAAAAAUGACACUGACCCCUUCUACUUAAAAUAAUAAUUCGCGGAAUGGGAACGGGUAUCGGGGCGGGGGAUAUACAAAAACCGUACCCGCCCGAUCGUCCCGAAUUUUUUUUUUUAAAAUCCCCGAUACCCGCCCGAAUCCCGAAAAAUCCCCGAAUAUUCACCCCGAUCGGGGCGGGGAGCGGGGCGGGGGGCGGGGGGGGGCAAAUUGCAAUCCCCUAAGGAACUUGGUCUUAUUGCUAGCACUGGUCGUAUUCCUUGUUUCAGAUGGAUAAAUUCCUUGAUUUUUUUUGAUUAAGUGUGUGCGAAAUUACUUGUAUCAAAAACUGCUUGGACUCUCCCAGGUCAUGUUGGGACUCCUUUCCGAGGAGUAGCUACCAUCAUAUGCCUCUCAUAAACAUGUACGGCGCAAAGCUAACUUUGCUCGUCCGCCCGCAUGGAAAAUGACCGUACAAGUCUCCUGAUUUAUUGUAGCCAAUGCUGGCCACUCGGAUUUGUCGUACCCUCAAAAAGUCGGGGGCCUUAAGUCGCGGGAAUUUUGUAUUGUCGGAAAUCCUGGGGUAGGGUUAUAGUACUCUAGAGCUUAACAAGCCUUCAAGGCUCUCUCACUUCUAGUUGGGUCAGGUUCCGUCCGCCCCCCUUCUCCUCGUCCUCCUCGCCCUCUUGUUGCCAUGAGUCCAAAAUACAUGCCUCGAACGUAAAACCAACAAUUAAUGAGUAUUCACUUACACUUAGUCAUCAUGCCUUUUAGACAUAUUACAGUCUCUGAACUUUGGGCCUCUGUUACCAUUCUGUCACGACCCCCCCUGCGCCUGCUAGGCUCCACGCGUCGCCUGGCUUGCGUCAACAUAUUUUUCUUUCCUCCUUUUUUUCUUAUCAAAAAAAAUCUCUUUUCUUUUCAUUUGCGGAACAAACAUAUAUUAUUUAUUUUUGGAAGCUGAAACAGGAAGUAAGCAUUUGAAAAUCAUUAUCAUAACACUUGCCCAUUACUUAAAAGACUGUACUGUCUUAACAUUCAUAAUACAUACAUAUUUAAAAGGUAUCGGACAUUAUAAUCUGAGGUAUCUAUAUGAUUCGUUGUUUCUUUUAACAUAACAUGACUGUUCUAUCUUAGAUUUUUUCACACAUUCAUAACAAACGUCAAAAUUGUCUUAAUCGACUUACUCCCUUGCUUUCCUUUAUCACCUGAAAUAUUGUCGAAACAAUAUUCCUAAGUACAUUUUGCUUAUCGUAUACCAAUAAUCCGCUAACAUAGGUCUUGAUAUACAUAUCGAACAAAAAAUACCAUGAUAAAUGCAUAUAACUACAUAUUGUAAAAAGAUAAAAUAUUUAAAUUUUUCGCAUAAGUUAUUCAAGAAUUCAUGCUGGUACAUAUGAUUUGAUAUAUCUAAUUCAACAUAAUUCUUGAAACAUAUAUUAUGCACUAUGACCUCCCGUCCUUAGCCGAACUUAUACAUGAUUUCCACACACCCUUGAGUCUGGUAUUGCAGUCUAGUAUUUUCCCGAAAGGCCAGAACUUGGAUGGUUCUAUGCAUAUACAUACACAAUCCUUUCGAAAUAUUCUAUCAUAUUCAUGGAUUGAUUUGCAUAGCAAUAAAAUAAAUUUCAUGCAUAUUCAUAGCAUAAAAAAGUAAUUUACUCUACUUUAGAGAUUAAGGGUACAUACAUUGCUGCGUGGAUAGUGCGUUAGUCCGUUCGUUGUGUUCCUAGGUGUCGAAUCGCUCCUAUACGUUCAUUUAUUGACAAAUAAGAUUAAUAUCUUUACUAAGUGUUAUACUAUAACGAAGUUUAUUUUUCAUGUUAAUAGUCUAAUCAUGGAUAUAUGCAUUUUACCAUGGUAUUUUCAUGUUUUCGAUAUGUAUAUCAAAACCUAUGUUAGAGAUUAUUGUAUACGCUAAGCAAAAAUGUGCUUAGAAUAUUGUUUUUCGAUAAUAUUUCAGGUAAUAAGGAAAGCAAGUGGAGUAAGUCAUAAGGACACAUUUGAGUUGUUAUGAAUGUUUCCCCUAAAAAUUUAAGAUAGAACAUGUCAUCUAUGUCAUAAAAAACAACGGAAUCAUAUAGUAUACACAGAUUCUAAUGUUCGAGACAUUUAAAAUAUGUAUGUAUGUAUAAAUGUAGAUAGGUACAGUCUCUCUACGUCAUGGCACGUGUUUUGGACUUAAUGAUUUUCAAAUGCGUUAUUUCAUUUUCAGUUCCAAAAUAAAUAAUAUAUGUUUCGAGACCGCAAUGGAAAAGGAAAGGAAAAUUUUUUUUGAUAAGAAAAAGGACAAGAAAACAUAUGUGGACGUAGCCCGUCGCGCGUUGGAAGCCUAGCGGGGUCGGCGGGUCGUUUACAGUUAGUAUAAGAGCCUAAAAGUUUUUAGCGGACUGUGUACUAUGUCUAAGAUGAUGACCAGUGUAAGUGUACUCCUCAUUAAUUGUUGUCUUACGUCGAGGUAUCUAUAUUUAUGGAGACUCAUGGCAACAAGGGAGGGCGAUUGAGGACAAAGGGGACGGGGGAGGACGUAACUGACCCAAAUAGAAUGAGAGAGAGAGCCUUGGAAGGCUUGGUUAAGGUCUAGAGGAGUACCAUAAUCCUUACCUAGUGGAAUUCCACAAUUCCGCGACGAAGCCCGGACUUUGAGGGUACGACGAAUCCCGAAGUGGCCAACAUUGGCUACAAGAAAAUAAGGAAGCUUAUACGUAUUUUCCAUGCAGGAAUGAGCCAAAAAGAUAGCUUUGAUGCGUAACAUGUUGUGAGCGAGGCAUGUGUGAAUGUAGAUACUCAACUUCGGAAAGGGAACCCAACAUGACCUGGAGGGUUGGGUCCAAGACAGUUUUGAUGACAAGGAAAUUGCCACCAGACUUAAGUCAAAAAAAAUCAAGGAAUUUAUCCAUCUGAGACAGUGAUAGAGUAGAAAAAUAGAAACAAGCGAAAACUAUUGGAUUCAAAUGUUAUAAUCACCAUUAUUUACCUAAGGCCUAUCUAUAGGCAAAACCAAGAGAUGAUGAGCUAAGCAAUCGACCCCCUAUCAUCACAAAGUCUACAAAAUGGGCUAGCAAGUCACCAAUGGUGAUAUCAAAUCUUCAACCAGGUUAGGCUACCUAACAAUAGGCUACCUAACAAUGUUAGGUUACCUAACAUUGUAGGCUACUUUAUUUCCAACACUCCCCAUCAAGCGUGGGGCGAAGAUAUCCCAACGAGACCAGUUGUAAGAGAAAGUUCUUCACAAGGUUAUGGCGACUAACAUUGUAGAACGAAGCCACAUUAAGCUUAGGAGGCAGCAGGAGAAAGCUCCAGGAAGGUUGCAGGAAGCUCAAAAGGCAGCAAAAAGUGUGCAGGGGAAGCUCCAAAAGGAAAAUCCAACCACGCUCACGCACCGUGUGGUAUAUGCCAAACACGCGGAUUACGGAAUAGGGAAACGGAGAACAAAUAUGGUUGUGGAAAAAUCAAACCGCUCCGACGUGUGACCAUACGCCUAACACGCGAAUUACGGAAAUAGAAAACGUGAGAAUGACCAUAUUGGGCGGAAAGGGCUGCGACAGACAGCCGGGGGCAGCAAGGGCUUGCAAGUGGCAAUAAGGGGUUGCAAGGGCAAACAAGGGGCUGCAACAACCACACAAUAUUCCGGCGACGGCAGAGCCGUCCGCCGCGGCGCGAAGCGGACCAAGAACUAGCUUUGCUCUGAUAUCCAAGUAGAAAACUUAGAAAUAAGGAGAAAAAUCUGUAUUCAAUGUUAUAAUUCACCAAUUACAUAAGGCUUUAUAGCAAAACCUAGAAGAUGAUGAGCUAAGCAAUGACUCUCAUUCAUCAUCCAAAGUCUACAAAAUGGGCUAGCAAGUCACAUGGUUAUAUCAAAUCAUUCAACAUGUUAGGCGACCUAAAUAGGCACUAACAAUGUAGGUACCUAACAUUGUAGGCUACUUUUAUUUCCACCAGAUAGCAAUAUAGACAAGUUCACUGAAUAAGCGCGAUCUGCCCGCUAUAGGUGGAUACCGAGGAAGAAGGCAAGAAAAUUGAAGAAGGCUUGAGAGGGACAUCAAGAAUCGACUGGAAUUGCUUCAGUGCCUACGUAUGCGGAGUGGUGGACCGUGCACUCCUAGUUAAAGGAGUAUGAAGAAUAUAUCAGGACAUGGACCCAAGAGAAAGGGA